rnacentral:misc_RNA from 1 species
GAUGAAGAACGUAGCGAAAUGCGAUAAGUAAUGUGAAUUGCAGAAUUCAGUGAAUCAUCGAAUCUUUGAACGCACAUUGCGCCCGCCAGUAUUCUGGCGGGCAUGCCUGUUCGAGCGUCAUUUCAACCAUCAAGCCCCAGGCUUGUGAUGGGGACCUGCGGCUGCCGCAGGCCCUGAAAACCAGUGGCGGGCUCGCUGUCACACCGGGCGUAGUAGAUUUUAUCUCGCUCAGGGCGUGCUGCGGGUUCCGGCCGUUAAAAAGCCUUUUUUACCCAAGGUUGACCUCGGAUCAGGUAGGAAGACCCGCUGAACUUAAGCAUAUCAAUAAGCGGAGGA